CCCAUUCUGAUUCUGAUCUCACUAAAAUAAUGCCAAGAAAUGGACUGAAACCAAAUCAAAUCAAAUCAAAUGUGAAAUUCAUGAUCCCACUGAUGCUCUGAAUUUUCAACAUUCUGUGAACUCAGUGAUUCUUUGUCUUCUUUAUCUUUCUUUUUGCAAUAAGUACAGUUGUUGAUUCUAUAUAGAUAAAAGAUUCCAUAAUAUGAAUGAUUUGAGUCUGUUUGUUGCC
rnacentral:sRNA from 2 species